UUUCUAUCCAAGUCUUUGAGAGGUGUGCUCUUCAAGUUUUCAUUCAACCCAAGUACUUGUAUUAUGCAAAGCGUUACAACGAAGGUCGCAAUCUGCUAGCUAGGCUUCAUCAAAGAUAACCGUUCAAGCUAGACAAAAGCAUUUCCUACGUUGUAUUUGAGCGAGGCUUGAAGAAGAUUGAAGUUUGGAGAAUGAGUUGAAGCCCAACGUUACUCCUGCACCAAUGAUCCAACGACGUUUCCUACUCCUGCAACUGCCGAUGAUCACCACUCAUCGGCGACUGCUGAUUACCAUUAGUCGUUGCCCAAUGCUUGCGAAAAAGCACUCGACGAAGCAAGUUAUGAAGCAAAGCAUCUCCCCGAACGUCAAGCUGACUCUGAAGAUGGUGCAUUGAAGCCCCGACUAUUGCUCCACUUUGCGACCGCUCUCUAUCGUGGGGCCACAAAUCCUUCCACGCACCGACGUUGUAACUUGAGAGACUAUAAAACAAGUGGCUGUAUAUUUAAUUACUAACUCAUUGUGGAAUAUUUCAA